rnacentral:lncRNA from 1 species
AUGCAUGUCGAACCUAGAUAUUAAUGGAGAUAGAGUACCAAAGAAAUCUAUCGAGGUCGAGAAGGAUGAUGGCCCUAUCUCAUGCAUGGAACAUAAGAAAAUACUAUCGAUAUCAUCGGGACCAUGACCACAAUAUCAAGGAAUGUCAGCAACUUAAAGAUGAGAUCGAGGUGCUUAUCUGGCAGGAAUGAUUAUGGCAAUAUAUCAAAAAUAGG